UCCUGACUUUCAGUGAAAAUAUAAGCUGGUAUUUAAUUAUAAUGUGAAGUGUGAACUUUUUAAAAAAUAUUUUGGUGGAAAGGGGCAUGGAAGAAGAAAAACUGAACCAAGUAAGGUUGCCUCAUACUUCAGUAAAGCAAACUGGAGCAAGGGUUGAAAUCCACUGUCCUAUAGGUCUCAUGGCCAUUUAGUAAAGAAUCUGCUGCAUUGUUCUGCUUCUUUCAUUUCAGAAUAGAGCUUCAACAGAAGUGAAGGAGUCCCAUGUCAGACUUACCCUGACAAAUAGGGUUUCUCAACUGGCAGAUGCAAGACCAGCAUGCUAGGAUGCAUGAGCAUGCCGAUUGUCUGAAAAUACUGAAACUGAUGGAAAGGCUCACUGGUGGCAUACACCAGCCUAAAGAUGUCAUGUUUCAGGUGCAGAGAUGAAGACAAGAAAUACACCCAGGUCAGAGGAGACCUUCAACAGCUCAAUAUGCCAAGAUGACACUGUAAGACCUAAGGACAGGACUUAUUAGCCACCCAUUCAUUUUCAUUUGCUACUUUCUACUUUCAGUUUAUUAAAAGUGGCUACAAUUUUGUCUUCUUAAGAUCACUGCUAAUUUAUCCUGCUUAGAACAAGCAGAAACCUAAAAGUCUGAUGGUCACAUUAGUAACCCUGUUAUUUGCAGAUUGCUAAAGAAAAAAAAAAAAAGUGUUUUGCUUCAGUCAAAAUAAUGAAAGAGAAUUAUAAAGCCUGACAAGUAAAAACAAUAAAAUGUAGAAAGUAAUAAAACUGUCACAAGGGAAAGACAAGAAGGAAGAUUUAAUGAGGCAGAAUGGACAAGUAAGUAAACUAUUUAUAUGAAGUCUCCAUUCAGACAUGACGUGCUUCACUAUCUCUCAUUAAGCCUCACACCCAUGCAUAGGCCUGACCUGCUGCAUUGGAUGUCCUCACUCUUCUGUUUCCCUAACUGUAUGACAUUUAUUGCAGACUAAUCAUGAAUAGUUCUUUUAGUGGUAAUUUGUUGUCUUCUUCAUGUUGGCCAAUACUGAUAGACUCAGCCUAUGCUCAACGAAUGAAUACCUGGUGAAAAGCCUCACUAUAAAGAAUGAUAAAAGGAUUUUUUUUCUGCACAGAGAUCAGAGGUCUUCAAAAGGCAUGGUUCAGCUGAUGAGCAUGCAGUCAGAAGAUAUGAAGCUAAAUUUCUACUAUUUUCACCUGAUUUUCUCUUGGCUAAAAAAUAUAUUCAGCUACAUUUCAGAAGCUCCAAGAGCAGAGGCAAGGAAACAUGAACAAUGGAUUACACAUGAGUUCCUCGAAAGUCACAGAAUAUAUAUGUGAAUGGCCUUCUUGGAUGGCAAGAUGGCUCCGGGAGAUACACUGAUGAUACAUUUUGCCUGUGGUUUGAAGGAAGGUUGGGAGCAUGAAAUCUGCUAAGAAGACUGAAUCCCCAUUUCCAGUAUUGCACGGAAAACUAGUGACCAUUUUAUAUCUGCAGUGCUUCUUGUCACAAUGACUCUGCCUAGAACACCUUAUGAAUUAAUGCAAUUCUAAGCAAUUUCUUUAGCCCAGAAGCAUGGUGAACUGCUAGCAGAGAAUACAUCACAAAUUUUACAUAGCAUGUUGCUAGUCUUUAGUGAACCAACUCUCAAAUCAAUUACGUCUGCUGGCAAGGAAGCCUUAACACUGUAAAUAAUUUAAAGUGCAAACUGUGUGGCAUACAACUCCUUUCAUCAGCAGAAAGAUUGAUUUCACCUUGUAUCUCUGCUCUACAGAAAUGGCCUUUUUUAGUUAAGUUUUCAAAGUUAUCACAAUAAAGCAGUAAAGUCUGAAGCAUGUAACACAAGUUACAACUGUUCUUCUUGGAUCUGAUAGACAGUCAUUAAUCAGAGUAAAAAUUACUGAGAAGGCAACAUUAAACACUUUUCUGUUCCCAUUAUAAAUUUGCAAAAGGAGUUUGUAGAAAAUAUUUUAUUUUAAACAUUGACGAACUGUAGAACUUUAUUCAGGAUCAAAUGCAGAAGGAAAAGCCAAUGAUUCUGGAGCACAUUUAGAACUUGGUCACAAUAAAUUCAGUCCAUUUCAUUUGUUACGCCAUUUGCCAUACAGAUCUGUAUGUGCCCAGCUAUGUAGAUCUGCCUUUUUUGCCUCAUCUGACUGUGAGUUAUCUGAACCCAGUGUCCAGGGAGCUGAGAAUGGUUUUACUUGUGGUGGUUCAGAAAACAUUCUCCCUUAUCCUCCCCAGCUCUAUGUACCAAAAAUCCCUCCUAUUAAGAAAGCCUUUGCUGGUGUGGUUUCCCCACUUUUGUGCCUGGCACUCAGGGGUAAAGACAGAAAAGUUCCAGAGAUACAAUCUCCCGAGAAAGGGAAAGGGAGAGGGAGGUGCUGAUCUCUGCUCACUGGGAACCGAUGACAAGAUGCAAGGAAACAGCACAAAGCUGAGCCUGGGGAGGUUCGGACUGGGCACUGGGAAAAAUUUCUUUAUCAUAAGGGUGGUCAAACACUGGAACAGCCUUCCUAGCCAGGUGGUUGUUGCCCCAUGCCUGUCAGUGUUCAAGAGGCAUUUGGACACCGCCCUCAUUAAUGUGCUUUAACUCUCGGUUAGCCCCGAAGUGGUCAGGCAGUUGGACAGUAUCUUUCUAGGUCCUUUCCAGCUGAAGUAUUCUGCUCUAGUCUAGCCUAGUCUAUAUCCUUUAGUCCAAAGUCAACUUUCAUGGCUAAGUUGACAGCACAUUGCCUUACCAAGGAAUGUGCUUCCUACAACUAAUCUAAGCAGACUUAAGGAAAAAACACAUUAUUCUUUAAUACACACUGAAAAAAUGCUUUUCAUUAAGCCUAUAAAAAUGGAACUAGCUUUUCAAUUAUAGAAUAUGCAAUUGGCUUCAGAAGCCAGAACAAAAUUGAAAAAAAAAUUGUUUAACCCACUUGUGUUUAGGAUUAUAGUCAAGGGCUCUAACAAAGUACACAUUUCUCUGCUUAUGGAAUAGCCUUUGAAAGCUGAGUGGUGAAUGUGUUUUACUAACAUAUUCUGGGAGUCCAGAAAAAAAUAGAUUUCGUUAGAAUUGGAGCUAUAUGGCUACUUAUUCCAUUACUAGAUCAGAAGGGCUGAUAUUGUGUAUGCAUAGAUUUUUUUAAAAUUAGUUUUUGGGUGGUUUUUUUUUUUUUGCAAACCUUGCAGAUGUGAAAGGAUGUCCUUGGACAAAGUCAGAAAGGAAUUUCAGCACAGAGAACCUAAUUUCCACUAUGUAUAACAAGUUUUAUUUUGUGACUAGCUUGCCUGCACAAUACCAGAAUUAGAAUCCAAUCUGAGGUAUCUCAUUGUAGACAACAAUCUAUCCAUCAAAUCCAGUCUUUGAAUUUGGCCCUUUUUACAGUAACUUAACAGUAGUUCAAAAGGAAUAGAAACCUGAACAUUUCAAAAAAUGCCCCAAAACCAAAAAGGAUUAUUCAAUCACUUUUGUCAGGCCUUCUAUUUUAUUUUUCUACUUACCUUCUAUUUUCCUUCUUUCAGAUCCCAUGCUCAGCAUACACUGUACUCUUUUAGGCUUAGAACACUUGAAAAAUGAAAUUAGACAGAACAAAGCUGCUUUUUGUUCUGUUAAUACUGCCAUAAAAUUCUUGUGUCCUUGGGUUGAAAGUCCGAAAUCAAACUCUAUACAAGAUCUAAAUAAUAAAAUCCAUAGGAAUUCCACAAAAUUGUGAAAAUUCAAAUACAGGCCAAUACUGCCAUAUAGCCAUGUACACAAAAGUGAUGCUGCCUGUCUUCCAUCUCUACACUCCGUGUCAGCUGAACUGUGCUGUUUGAAGACCAUUGACCUCUAUUUGUUCAUCAUAACUACACAGACUUUCUCUUUAUCAUUCUGUAUGAAGGGCCAAAACAGAGCAUUGUUCAACAGCUGCAGCGCCAACACGCUACACGCCUGUAGUUUUGACUUUUGCAUACACUAAAGCCUUCACGCUCUAAUCUUAGACCUUACACCAUCAUAACAAACUAGAGAGCAACUAAAAAUCAAACUUUGUGUUCUAAAAUACGAUUUUAGCCAUAUAUGUCCUUGGGAUUGCAGAAGUAGAUGUUCACUUUUGACUUGAAGGUAGAGCCUCAUAAAGUUAUUGCUACUGUCAUUUGUUUUUCUGAGCAAAGGAAGAGAGCAAAAACAUUAAAUGAGCCUUUCAGGCUUCCUGCCCAGUCCUGUUUACUCUGUUCUAAAGAAAAUACCUGUCAGUGUCUUUGUCAGUGUGAAAGGAGACUUCACCAUCUCAAAGAAGACUGCAUGUGUUCAGCACACUCAUGAUCUAAGUUUGAGAAGUUUAUUAAUUUCAGUGGAUUCCCAUUAAAAUCUGGAUCAUUUCACUCAUGGCUCAGAGGGGCUGAUAAAUGCAGAGCUGUUUCCCGAAACGGUUUUCAAAUGUUUGUUAAUGCAAAGAUUGUGAUCUUGGAAAAGGCUGCAAUGAUUUAAUCCCAGUUUUAGAGAGGAAGAAACCUUUGGAAGAAAUUUAAGUUUUUGUUCUAACUCCAUAAACACAUAAAAAUGAAAGAUAUUUUUUCUUAGUCACCAUUGUCUUCGUUCCUUUAUUUGCUUUUCUCAUUUAAAGCAAAUUGUCUUUCUGCUUAGAAAGCAAGGAAAUUAGUACAAUAGUAAGUCAUGCAUCUGGAAGGCAUAAUUAAUUCCACCUGUUUUACCCAAGAAUGUCUCCAAAAUAAAAUAAUAUUAUUUACAGUUCAUGGAUGGUACCUCUUUAUGGCUAGUUCAUGGUUGAGUCCUCAGAGAGAAGAAUUACCUCUGGUAGGGAAAACCUACAAAUACAGUGGUAGGCUACAGCUUUUUUGCAUGCCUGGUCUUUUCACUCUCUACCACAAACUGAAUGUUUUGAAUUUUAGCACAAUAACAGGAAUGACCUUGUAAUUUUGCUUUGCUCUAUCCUCUCAUGAGAUUUCAAUAACUACAUGGAAUUUGAGUUGUCUUCUGAGAAACCAAAGAAUGCCCUACAGCAGUGGGAUUAGCUCUUUAUUAGGCAGCAGGCUUCUCAGGAAGACACAGUAGUAUUUUUUUUGUUCCAGCAGUAUCUUUCAGAUGAGGUAUAAAAUAGCCUCAGAACCUCUGGGUAUCAAAAUUUCUACAGACUGUUUUGCAAGUGACGGAUGAACUUACUCUCUGGAGGAAGACAAAAGGAAAGCAACUCUCCUGCCAUUGGAGUGGGUUGAAGGGAGGAUGUGCAAAGGCUGUUUAUUUAUUUAUUUAUUUGUGGGUUUGUGUUUUGGGGGUAUUUUAUGGCUUGCUGACAGACUCAAUAAGUUAAAAAAAAACUUUUUGAUUGCACUUCGAGUCUUAUUUACAUAUAUACUCACUGAGACAAAGGCUGAUUGAAUGAAAAAUAAUGCCCUAUUCCAGCUACUCAGUUUCUCUAAGAGUUAGCUUUACAAAGCCUUACCAUGUGUCAGCUUAAGCUUGCUAAAAGGCAAAAGUUUGUUUCAGAUAAAAGGCACUAUUUAAAGCUGCCACGCUCAGCUACACCUCUGCAUACAUUAAAGACAACACCAAGAUUGCCACCAAACUUGGACAGUUAAAAAGUAAACACUGAAAAAUCCACAGACAUUCAAUAUUUUGAGUCACAGUUCCACAGAAUUCAGCAUGAGAAAUUCAAAAGGAAAUUACAUAAAGUGCCCUGAUACAGGCAAAUGACAUGAUUUUUAUCUAGGCAUAUACAAAUACUUUAUAUAUAUACCAAUACAUGCAAAUUGCUAACUUACAUGCAAAUUUAACUCUUCUUGCUAUAUACUGAAUUUUCUAUGACACAACUCGUGUCGCUUCAUAAAAUAGGGUUUCAAAAAUCCUAAAUCCUAAAAUUGGAUUUCAAAAAAUGGUAGUUAAUUUUUUUCAGGUGGUAAAAAUAGUUUGUAGUUCACUUUUCAGGGGGAAAAAAACAGGUUCAAAUAAUCUUGUGGUGGACAACAGCUAGACUAGAAUGGUAAAACGACUUAUAAAAGGCUUCCAGUUAGUCACUAUCUUCUUAGAUAAAUUUGUCCACUUUCAAUCAUCUCUACCAUAGAUAUUUUCUAUA